GCUGACUAUUUUUUUCAAAUGGUAUGUCAUGGUAGAGUUAAUUUUCAUUUCUGGGCUUCCAUACCGUCUCAAAUGCAACACAGCCAAUCUGACAAAUAGCAAUUUACAAAAAACAAAAUUGGCGAAUCUUAUGUUUGACCCUGUAACUUUCCAAAUCACCAUAAAUCCUAUACUUGAGGGGUACUGUUGUACUCGUGAGCAGUGGUGUAUUUUGGAUCUGUGCUGCCGUAGGCAUGACGGAACUCGGGCACUCCCUCAUUUACAUUUGCCCCACCCCUUCC